rnacentral:rRNA from 1 species
CCUACGGGAGGCAGCAGUGGGGAAUAUUGGACAAUGGGGGCAACCCUGAUCCAGCCAUGCCGCGUGUGUGAAGAAGGCCCUCGGGUUGUAAAGCACUUUCAGUGAGGAAGAACGCCUGGUGGUUAAUACCCAUCAGGAAAGACAUCACUCACAGAAGAAGCACCGGCUAACUCCGUGCCAGCAGCCGCGGUAAUACGGAGGGUGCGAGCGUUAAUCGGAAUUACUGGGCGUAAAGCGCGCGUAGGUGGCUUGAUAAGCCGGUUGUGAAAGCCCCGGGCUCAACCUGGGAACGGCAUCCGGAACUGUCAAGCUAGAGUGCAGGAGAGGAAGGUAGAAUUCCCGGUGUAGCGGUGAAAUGCGUAGAGAUCGGGAGGAAUACCAGUGGCGAAGGCGGCCUUCUGGACUGACACUGACACUGAGGUGCGAAAGCGUGGAUAGCAAACAGGAUUAGAUACCCUGGUAGUC